GGGAUCCUACGGGGCGCAGCAGUGAGGAAUAUUGGUCAAUGGGAGAGAUCCUGAACCAGCCAAGCCGCGUGAGGGAAGACGGCCCUAUGGGUUGUAAACCUCUUUUGUCGGAGAACAAAACCCGGGACGAGUCCCGGACUGCGUGUAUCCGAAGAAAAAGCAUCGGCUAACUCCGUGCCAGCAGCCGCGGUAAUACGGAGGAUGCGAGCGUUAUCCGGAUUUAUUGGGUUUAAAGGGUGCGUAGGCGGUCCGUUAAGUCAGCGGUAAAAUUGCGGGGGUCACCCCCGUCG
rnacentral:rRNA from 1 species